GCCUCAAUGAUGUAGUGGUAACACUAGCCUCUGGUAUAGGUGAAACGCGGGUUCAACUCCUGUCUGCGGUG